CAGCCUACACAUGCAAGUCGAGCGGCAGCGGGAGGUGCUUGCACCUCGCCGGCGAGCGGCGGACGGGUGAGUAACGCAUAGGAAUCUGCCCGGUAGUGGGGGAUAACCUGGGGAAACCCAGGCUAAUACCGCAUACGUCCUACGGGAGAAAGCAGGGGCUCUUCGGACCUUGCGCUAUCGGAUGAGCCUAUGCCGGAUUAGCUAGUUGGUAGGGUAAUGGCCUACCAAGGCAACGAUCCGUAGCUGGUCUGAGAGGAUGAUCAGCCACACUGGGACUGAGACACGGCCCAGACUCCUACGGGAGGCAGCAGUGGGGAAUAUUGGACAAUGGGCGCAAGCCUGAUCCAGCCAUGCCGCGUGUGUGAAGAAGGCUUUCGGGUUGUAAAGCACUUUCAGUGGGGAAGAAGGCCUGUCGGCUAAUACCCGGCAGGAACGACAUCACCCACAGAAGAAGCACCGGCUAACUCCGUGCCAGCAGCCGCGGUAAUACGGAGGGUGCGAGCGUUAAUCGGAAUUACUGGGCGUAAAGCGCGCGUAGGCGGCGUGAUAAGCCGGUUGUGAAAGCCCCGGGCUCAACCUGGGAACGGCAUCCGGAACUGUCAUGCUAGAGUGCAGGAGAGGAAGGUAGAAUUCCCGGUGUAGCGGUGAAAUGCGUAGAGAUCGGGAGGAAUACC
rnacentral:rRNA from 1 species